rnacentral:rRNA from 1 species
GACGGAGGGUGCUAGCGUUGUUCGGAAUGACUGGGCGUAAAGGGCGCGUAGGCGGCCGCUUGCGUCGGAUGUGAAAGCCCGGGGCUCAACCCCGGAACGGCAUCCGAUACGGGGCGGCUCGAGACCGAGAGAGGUGAGUGGAAUACCCAGUGUAGAGGUGAAAUUCGUAGAUAUUGGGUGGAACACCGGUGGCGAAAGCGGCUCACUGGCCCGAGACUGACGCUGAGGCGCGAAAGCGUGGGGAGCAAACAGG